rnacentral:rRNA from 1 species
UACGUAGGCAGCGAGCGUUGUUCGGAGUUACUGGGCGUAAAGGGUGUGUAGGCGGUUCUUUAAGUUUGGUGUGAAAUCUCCCGGCUCAACCGGGAGGGUGCGCCGAAUACUGAGGGACUUGGAGUGCGGGAGAGGAAAGUGGAAUUCCUGGUGUAGCGGUGAAAUGCGUAGAUAUCAGGAGGAACACCGGUGGUGUAGACGGCACUCUGGGCCAGUACUGACACUGAGGAGCGAAAGCGUGGGUAGCGAACAGG